rnacentral:rRNA from 1 species
AUGGCGUCAUUCACAAAUCUCUCGGUAGCACUUCUCUUGCUCACCAUCCUCUUUCCUACACUCGCACUAUGCUAUAUCAAUCCAGCCACAAGCGUACACCAAAAUGCCACAAAACCCUCUGCUUAUCAUGCUUACAUCGUGCUCGUCGAGCCACCACGCUCAAAUGCCGGCGAAGACGCCCAUCGCCAGUGGCACAAGUCUUUCUUGCCGAGUUCGUUGACGGGUGAGUCCAACGAGUCGCGCCUUCUCCAUUCCUACACCGAGGUGUUCAGUGGCUUCGCCGUGAGGCUCACCGACGCCGAGCUCGAUUCGGUGGCCAAGAAGCCAGGGUUUGUGCGUGCAUUCCCCGACCGGACCCUGCAGCUAAUGACCACCCACACGCCAGAGUUCCUUGGACUAAGGAACGACACCGGGUUCUGGAGCCAGGCUGGCUACGGGAAGGGAGUCAUCAUUGGACUGCUCGACACCGGCAUCUAUGCGACACACCCUUCUUUCAAUGACCAUGGAGUUCCACCACCCCCAGCAAGGUGGAAGGGCUCAUGCAAGGCGGCCCGGUGCAACAACAAGCUCAUCGGUGCCAAGUCAUUCAUCAAGGGUGUUAACUCUGGCGACGAAGAGGGACACGGAACGCAUACCUCGUCCACGGCAGCCGGGAACUUCGUCACCGGCGCGUCAUACCAUGGUGUGGGAAAGGGCACCGCAGCCGGAAUUGCUCCUAGCGCACACAUCGCCAUGUACAAGGUAUGCGACAGUAGAGGCUGCGAGGAAUCCGCCGUACUGGCCGGCCUAGAAGAGGCCAUCAAGGAUGGGGUGGACGUGCUCUCGUUCUCCCUUGGUGGCACCAUGAGUCCCAUCUAUGAUCAAGACCCCAUCGCUAUCGGCGCGUUUAGUGCUAUGUCCAAGGGCAUCGUCAUGGUGUGUGCCGCAGGUAACGAUGGUCCGGAUCUGUUCUCGGUCACCAAUGUCGCCCCGUGGUUGCUCACAGUCGCCGCCGGCUCCGUAGACCGGAGCUUCGGUGCCGGUGUGAAUCUUGGCAAUGGCAAGAUCAUCGAUGGAGAAGCGCUUACCCAGAAAGCGAGUCCGAGCUCAAAGUCGCACCCUCUCGUCUACUCCGAGGAACGGCGGUACUGCAAUUACAGUGAUGACAGUGGCAUCACCGGUAAGAUCCUGGUCUGCGAGAACACGAAGUCGGAGACUCAACAGUCCAACGUCCGUAGAAUAGUGGGUGCUGGUGCGUCCGGCGUGGUGUUGUUCAACGACGAAAUCAGUGGCUACACCACCAUUGUUCAGGAUUACAACUCCAGUGUUGUACAGGUGACCGCAUCCGACGGUGGCAUCCUCAAAGCUUACGCCGCGUCGUCGAAGAGCAGCUCUGUGGCCUCUCUCACGUACAACAACACAUUGUUUGGUGUCCGCCCGGCCCCUGUCGUGCCUUUUUUCUCUUCCCGGGGUCCAAGCUUCACCAACCUCAACAUCCUAAAGCCGGACAUAUUGGCACCGGGGCUCAACAUCCUCGCUGCAUGGCCGCCAAGCACGGCCUCCGGACAGGGCCCUUUCAACAUCAUAUCAGGCACAUCCAUGGCGACGCCCCACGUGAGUGGUGUUGCGGCGCUUAUUAAAAGCAUCCAUCCCGACUGGUCGCCGGCCGCCAUCAAGUCUGCUAUCCUGACGACGUCGGACAUCGUUAAUAGCACUGGCGGCUCAAUCUUAGACGAGCAGCAUCGAAAGGCCGGGGUGUUCGACACAGGCGCCGGCCAUGUGAACCCGGCGAGAGCCGCCGACCCUGGCUUGGUGUACGACCUCAGCGUCACUGAGUAUGCCGGCUACAUCUGCUGGUUCCUCGGUGACAGCGGCCUAGCAACCAUCGUGCGCAACUCGAGCUUGACCUGCGGGAAGCUGCCCAAGGUCCAGCACGCGCAGCUUAACUACCCGACGAUAACUGUGUUGGUUUCAUCGACUCCGUUCACAGUGAACCGAACUGUGACGAACGUUGGGCCAGCGGAUUCGACAUUCAAGGCCAAGGUGGACGUGCCGAGGCCUCUGACGGUGCGUGUCUCCCCGGAGACGCUGUCAUUCUCCAAAGCCGGAGAGAAGAAGACCUUCAGCAUGUCUGUGAGCGGCGACCUGGGCAAGGAAGUACUGUAUGUGGAGGGAAGCUUGAGCUGGGUAUCGGAGAGGCAUGUCGUGCGGAGCCCCAUCGUCGCUCUUCCGGCCUCAUCGCCAUGA